rnacentral:sRNA from 1 species
AUCCUGCAUGAUGAGUCCCAAGGAGAGGAAAGCAGAAAGUGACCUCAAACCAUAGCCUCUCCCCACUCCUAGGUCCUGUACAUCCAGGCCUUUGUCCUUGUCUUCCUUCUGGGCAAGGUGAUGGGCAAGGUGUUCUUUGGGCAACUGAGGGCAGCAGAGAUGGAGCACCUUCUGGAACGUUCCUGGUACGCCGUCACAGAGACUUGUCUGGCCUUCACCGUUUUUCGGGAUGACUUCAGCCCCCGCUUUGUUGCACUCUUCACUCUUCUUCUCUUCCUCAAAUGUUUCCACUGGCUGGCUGAGGACCGUGUGGACUUUCUCUUAUGUUCCUCCUGGGCAUCCUGGACUUCCUCUUCGUCAGCCACGCCUAUCACAGCAUCCUGACCCGUGGGGCUUCUGUGCAGCUGGUGUUUGGCUUUGAGUAUGCCAUCCUGAUGACGAUGGUGCUCACCAUCUUCAUCAAGUAUGUGCUGCACUCCGUGGACCUCCAGAGUGAGAACCCCUGGGACAACAAGGCUGUGUACAUGCUCUACACAGAGCUGUUUACAGGUGAGAGGGGCCUGGGCCUCUCCUGAUCUGGACCAGCAUCCUCCACUCUGCCUCCUGGCCCUGUGACCUGCUGCUUUCUGCAUCCCCUCCCCUCAGGCUUCAUCAAGGUUCUGCUGUACAUGGCCUUCAUGACCAUCAUGAUCAAGGUGCACACCUUCCCACUCUUUGCCAUCCGGCCCAUGUACCUGGCCAUGAGGUGAGCCCGGCCCUGUCCCCCGAUCCUCCUGACCUGAUCCUGUCCCUUCUCCUGCUUUCACUGACUGUCCUUUCAGACAGUUCAAGAAAGCUGUGACAGAUGCCAUCAUGUCUCGCCGAGCUAUCCGCAACAUGAACACCCU